UUUCUAUCAGAAACAGGAUUAUAUCCUUAAGGUGUUCAUUUUACCACCCCUUCCCCUACUACCUGAUUAACUCCACAUAGAGCUGAGAGAGCUGUCACCAACAGUUUGUUUUCACAUUUCAAGCAUUGAGGUUAGAAUAUAACCACGUGUGCCACGCCAUUGCAAGACGCUCAAGAAUAUCAGCGCGUUGUAAUAACGAUAAAGAAAAUGGAAAAACCAGACAGAAACAUUCGGAAAAUUGUAGAUCAAAUACAGAAGAUGACAAACAGAACAUUGGAGUUGCGUGUGGAUACCAAUCGAAUGACGUCUCGCAUCAUCCUCGCAAACAGCGUCGAAUAUAUUGAGGAAAUCCAUCACUUCCGAGAAGCUGACCGCAACAGCGAAAGCAGUCAGGGCACAGUGGACAAUGGGUUCGCAAAUAGAUAAGAUGGACAACGAGUGGGCACUUGAAGCCAGAAAAAUGAAAUGAAACACGACCAACAUUAUACUGAAUCAGAAAA